AUUCAGCUGACAAGUUUUAAAUAGGACGAAACGAGUGUCCUGGAU
rfam:Schistosoma curassoni strain Dakar, Senegal genome assembly, scaffold: SCTD_contig0017637